AGCGAACGUUAGCGGCGCGCCUAACACAUGCAAGUCGCACGAGAAAGGGCUUCGGCCCCGGUAAAGUGGCGCACGGGUGAGUAACACGUGGGCAACCUGCCCAACCCUGGGGGAUAACCUGCCGAAAGGCGGGCUAAUACCGCGUACGAGGGCUCGACUUCGGUCGGGUUCUGAAAGCAGGCCUCUGUAUACAAGCUUGUGGGGUUGGAUGGGCCCGCGCUCCAUCAGCUAGUUGGUGAGGUAACGGCUCACCAAGGCUACGACGGAUAGCUGGUCUGAGAGGAUGAUCAGCCACACUGGAACUGGGACACGGUCCAGACUCCUACGGGAGGUAGCAGUGGGGAAUCUUGCGCAAUGGACGAAAGUCUGACGCAGCGACGCCGCGUGGGUGACGAAGGCCCUCGGGUUGUAAAGCCCUGUGGGGUGAGACGAACAGCUGGGGUUCGAAUAGGGCCUUGGUCUGACGGUAUCACCUUAGCAAGCACCGGCUAACUCUGUGCCAGCAGCCGCGGUAAAAC
rnacentral:rRNA from 1 species